AACGACGCUGGCGGCAUGCCUAACACAUGCAAGUCGAACGAGACCUUCGGGUCUAGUGGCGCACGGGUGCGUAACGCGUGGGAAUCUGCCCUUCGGUUCGGAAUAACUCAGGGAAACUUGAGCUAAUACCGGAUAAUGACGUAAGUCCAAAGAUUUAUCGCCGAAGGAUGAGCCCGCGUAGGAUUAGCUUGUUGGUGGGGUAAUGGCCUACCAAGGCGACGAUCAGUAGUUGGUCUGAGAGGACGACCAGCCACACUGGGACUGAGACACGGCCCAGACUCCUACGGGAGGCAGCAGUGGGGAAUUUUGGACAAUGGGCGCAAGCCUGAUCCAGCAAUGCCGCGUGAGUGAAGAAGGCCUUCGGGUUGUAAAGCUCUUUCAGUCGAGAAGAAAAAGCUGCAGUGAAUAACUGUAGUUCAUGACGGUAUCGACAGAAGAAGCACCGGCUAACUACGUGCCAGCAGCC
rnacentral:rRNA from 1 species